rnacentral:rRNA from 1 species
UGAGGAAUAUUGGUCAAUGGGCGAGAGCCUGAACCAGCCAAGUAGCGUGCAGGACGACGGCCCUACGGGUUGUAAACUGCUUUUAUGAAGGAAUAAAGUCACCCACGUGUGGGUGUUUGCAUGUACUUUAUGAAUAAGGACCGGCUAAUUCCGUGCCAGCAGCCGCGGUAAUACGGAAGGUCCGGGCGUUAUCCGGAUUUAUUGGGUUUAAAGGGAGCGUAGGCCGCCUGGUAAGCGUGUUGUGAAAUGUCGUUGCUCAACCGUGGCACUGCAGCACGAACUGGAGGCCUUGAGUGCGCGGGAGGUAGGCGGAAUUCGUGGUGUAGCGGUGAAAUGCUUAGAUAUCACG